CAGGAUUAAGCUGUGGCCUGCUUGAGGGCAGAGACCACAGCUUGUUCAUCUUUUUAUUUUUAGCAUCUGAUGUAGAAAAUUGCCACCGAUGCGUAGCCUUUACCUGUGCUGACGGACUGUGGUCAUCCCUCUAUUGUCCACUUCCGUGUUAGGACUCGUGCUCGAAUUUUCUCCCUGUGCUUUAGUUACUUCUUUUCUACUCAGGGCUCUGAUGCUAACAAGCUUGUUUCCAACGUAGAGGCCUUGCACCUGCUGUUCCUUCUGCCAGGAAAGUUGUGCUCGUGGGGCUUCUUGUGGCUUAUUUCCUUCUCAUCCAAUUCAGUCUCUGCUCAAAUAGCCCGUCCACGGACAGGGCUUUCCUGGCCACCCAUUCUGAAGCAGUCACUGCCCUACAGAUCACCCUCUAACCUUGGCCUGAUUAAUUUUCCUUAUGGUACUCCUCAUCUGAAAUCCUCCUCUGUGUGUGUGUGUGUGUGUGUGUGUGUGUGUGUGUACAUAUACAUAUCCUUUCUCCAUAGAAAGGACAGCGGCUUGUUCAUUUUUGUAGUCUUAGCAUAAAACAAGGACCCGGUGCAGAUAGGGACUUGUUGCAUUUUGUUGAAUCCGUAAUGUUUGCUCUCUCGUAGACAGGAAUCCAACGAACGAUCAAGUCUCUGUAACAGUUACGGUAGAUGCUUGGUGCCCAGCCAAACUUCCCUUAACCACAACCCACUCCCCCAGUUGCCACUGGCUGGUGAAGGCUCACAGCUGUCUCCCCUGAAGACUGGGAGUGAAGAUUAUACAUUUCUUCUCCUGGGGCUGACCGUAGCCAAUAACUGACUGGUGUGGAUGUGCAAAAGGCCAGCACCCCCACCCCCGACUUUAGGCACGGGUGUUGCCGCAGUUUAUUUAUGUCUUACAGCCCCCUGUGGAACAGGUCAAAGCUAGGAUUUCCAGAGAACCCAUCUGGAUUCCUCGUUUCUUCCCUGCCCCUCCAUUGUCCUCCUCCCUUCUCGUUCUCACAGAUUUCUCUUGAGAGCUCUUGCCCAGUGAAUCAUUUGUAUCUGAAUCCCUGUCUCCGGUUCUGCUUCUAGAGAGCCUAACCCAAGACAGUGGUGUUCCUUGGUGGCAUGUAAGACCAGAGUUGAUGUCUUUAUUCGCAAGGGGGUUGCAAAGUAAAAACACAGCCACAGAAUUGUGAGGAAAUCUACUAUGGGUGUUUUUCACGUCCUGGUGGCCAAAUUCCCUGUCUCAUGUGAAGUAAAGCAAUUCUGAUUCACACAGUUCUAACUUUGGCCUCCAGUAUCAGCGGCCUGACUCGUGGGCUAUUUCCUGAUUUUCUAAGUGCUAAAGGCCUUGAGGUUAUUAUUUUCUUCCAUAAACACUACGUGCCUGGCACUGAGUUAGAGGAAGGAGUUUCAGUGUGAAUAAGAUCGGCAGUCUGGAGGCUGAGUCCCGAUGAUCAAACCAUCAGUGGUCGUUUGCCCGAUCUCUGCUUGGGACAGUGUGGCUCUGAGUCAAGGCUCUGGGGCCAGAAAGCCUCGGUUCUAAAUCGAGGUUCAGGCUCUUCCCGGCAGUGCGGCUCUCCACGUGUGUUUGAACUUCACGAACCUCGUUUUUUCUCCCCCUGGAAGACACACCUGCUUUGUCGGGCUGAUCUGAAGACUCAACCACUCAGCCUGGCAGGUGAUAAGAGCUGAGUAGGCGCUGGCAAUUAGUGUCGGCACAAGAGUCUUUGUCCCUGAAGAACUGUGCUUCGUCUGUUAGUGUGGCCACCGUUGCGGAUUCCUCACAAGUUGAGAAAUCGCCGUCGGACCAGGGGACGGAACAUCUGGGAGCCUUUUGAGAUAGAGUCAAUGUUUCAGACUUUGUCCUCCGGCAUUCUAGAGGCAUCUCUCCUGGGGCACUCAUCACCAGACUGGGUCACGGAGCAUCCUUCCCUAGCUUCCUGUGAACUUCAUGGACCACCCAGAGGGACUCAUAUAUAGAUAGUUACGAAUAAUAUUCCGUUGCACGGAGGGUUCACCAUUUAUGUAGUCGUGAAUCUAUUGAAGGACACCUCGUUGCCUCUAGUUUUUGGAGAGGCGAACCUGCAGGAAUCUGUGACUCUAUGUGCACCUUCAAUUUGGUCCAUCGUUUGUGAUUGACUUUCUUGUGGCCCUCCGUGAAAAAGCCAAGGUUAAAUUCACGGUGCCUACCGAGACCGCACGUGUUUUCAUCUUUUCAGACCCUAGGCUUACCACACAUUUCCUGGGCAUGGAACUGACCGGCCAUCCUGUACCCUGGCCUUCUAGCGACAGCAUGAAAACGUGUGCGUUCGCAGAUGGAAGAAGUUCACACCAGGCACAAGCUGUAACCAGAUCAUAUGAGCAGCGUUUACGCUUUGUCUAAUUCAAACUGACCCAACCUCCUAAGAAAAAGAAGGACUUCCUCCGGUUAUAGAGGUUUUAAGAACAGCUAGACCCAGGAUUCUGAGAUUUGGAGUCUUUUCAGUAAUGGGAAGAAGGCGGCAGAGGACAAAACUAAGGCAUCGUUAUAAUGUUCAUCUGCAGAGACCUUACGGAUCAUUAAAAGCGCACGACACGGAGAUAGUAAGCCACACGGAAGAGCCUGAGCUUAGACGAUGGGUGAACAACGGGAAAUCCGGGCAGUGUCCGCGUGGGCUUGGCAAGGAGACCCCACAAGGAGGUCAUUCUCUCCUCAGUGUGCGGACAACAGCAUCCAUCCGACUCAGAGGCUGUGAGCUGUUCACCGUCCUUGUGAGACGUGGGCCUGAAGACACAGCUGGAGUUCUUGUCAUUGCGGAAUUCAGCCGGAUCAGAAAUCGGGUCAGGAGGUCUUCUCAUGCCAUUCCUAUUCAAUAUCAAACAGGAAGACCUAACCAGUACGACAAGGAAAGAACGAGAAAUACAGAGUAGACAGAGUUUAUAAUUAACAUCUUGUGAAGUUCACUGGAAGACGAGAAGACCGGCUCUGCUACGUCUGGGAAUGGCGAGGCAUCCAAAUGCUGAUCACCGCAUGCAGUUGAGUAGGGAGAAUGGCUGAAGAUCUGCAGGAUGUCCUUGGACAUUUGGAGCACGGAGAGUAUUUUCGGUCAAUUCUAUUUAGAGAAAAUCGGAUGCUUAAUGACUGUGGUUUAGAGGUCCACAAUAAGACUAAUGGACUGAAAACCCAAGAGAAGUGCUCAUGGCAGGAAGAGCAUCAAGAGGAUAUAAAGUUAUGGAAAAUAAAUGACCAUCCAUGUUACCACCAAUAGGCUCUCCUGUGAACCCAAGCACCUGUGCAAGGUCAUUACUGCAACAGAGAAUCAAGUCUGCUCCAGAGAGAAGAAGUGAGAGAGUGAAUACACACCUUGGAAGUGUCAGUGAAUAAUGCUCUCAACUGCACUGUGUCCCCUGAAGAGCCAAGGUGCGUAGGUCCGCCUGCCCUGUCUUCUGUGUCUCCCGUCGUGAACAGUUGGACGAUCCCAGGGAGAAGCGGUGUCUCCUAGUCUGUUGAAGCAAUCAGUGAAGUGAAUGAGUAAUGAGUGAGAGCACAUUAGUGCCAUUGGUGGUUAAUGAACUCAAUCGUCUUUGCUGCGUGCCCCUGAUUUCCACAGCUUGCUAAAUAAAAGUUUAUUUAUGGUC